GACGAACGCUGGCGGCGUGCCUAACACAUGCAAGUCGAACGGAAAGGCCCUGAUUUUGUGGGGUUCUCGAGGGCGGAACGCGUGAGUGACACGUGUGUAUCCUGCCCUUGACUUUGGGAUAACAUCACGAAACUGGGGCUAAUACAGGAUAGGAUCUCCUGCUGCAUGGGGGGCGUUGGAAAGUUUCGGCGGUUGGGGAUGGACUCGCGGCUUAUCAGCUGGUUGGUGGGGUAGUGGCUGACCAAGGCUUUGACGGGUAGGCGGCCUGAGAGGGUGACCGGCCACAUUGGGACUGCGGGACGGCCCAGUCGCCUAUGGGAGGCAGCGGUGGGGAGUAUUGCACAAUGGGCGGACGCCUGAGACAGCAGCCCCGCGUUCGUGAUGACGUCCUUCGGGUUGUGAACCGCUUUCGCCUGUGACGAAGCGUGCGUGACGGUAAUGAGUAAAGAAGCACCGGCUAACUACGUG
rnacentral:rRNA from 1 species